rnacentral:ncRNA from 1 species
UUAAAGUUUUAUCCUGGCUUUAAUUUUCAAUCUUAGAUUGAGACACAUGUAAAUUUUAGUAAGACUAUAAAAAGGACUUUAAUCUUAACGAUGAGCGCCUUAACGUUAAGAAAAAACUUUAUAACUAGUAAAACCUCAGUGUCUAGUGCUAAUUAAAUAAACGAGAAUUUGAAUUGGCUAUUUUAAUUAUAGAUUAUAACCGGUCAAAAUUUGUGCCAGCAGCCGCGGUUAGACUAAGGGUUAAAUUGAAAAAGCAUUGGUUAAAAGUAAUUAAAUAGGAAUGUAAAGAGAUAAAAAGCUUGUACUAAUAAAAGGUGAAAUUAGACUUUUAGCUAAUAAGCUAUUUUGAAUUUAACACAAGUAUUGAAGUUACUAAAAUAAAGAAAUAAACUAGGAUUAGAUACCCUAUUAUACUUUAUUUUAAAAUCUCAUACCCGGGUAGUAAUCAGCUAUAAUCUUAAAACUCAAAGGAUUUGGCGGUAAUUUAGUCUGCUUAGAGGAACCUGUCCUGUAAACGACAAACCACGAAUAAUCUUACCUUGCUUUGUAAAUAAAACAGUUUGUAUACCGUCAUUAUCAGAUAACUUUAUAAAAAUAUAAGUUGUUAAAAUAAAAACUUCUUUAGAAUAUUAGAUCAAGGUGCAGCUAAUAGUAAGGCAGAGAUGGGUUACAAUAAACAAAGUUAUUACGGACAAAAAGUGUAAAUUCUUUUUCAAAGGAGGAUUUAAAUGUAAAAGUAAUUUAAUAAGGUACUUUGACUUUAGCACUAAGUUAUGUACACAUCGCCCGUCGCUCUCGUUAAUUAAAGCGAGAUAAGUCGUAACAUAGUAGGUGUACUGGAAAGUGUACCUAGAAAGCA